rnacentral:rRNA from 1 species
UACGUAGGGGGCAAGCGUUGUCCGGAUUUACUGGGCGUAAAGGGCGCGUAGGCGGCUUUGCAAGUGACGGGUGAAAUCCCUCGGCUUAACCGAGGAACUGCCUGUCAGACUGUAAGGCUUGAGACCGGGAGAGGUGAGUGGAAUUCCCAGUGUAGCGGUGAAAUGCGUAGAUAUUGGGAGGAACACCAGUGGCGAAGGCGGCUCACUGGACCGGUACUGACGCUGAGGCGCGAAAGCGUGGGGAGCAAACAGG